rnacentral:rRNA from 1 species
CCUACGGGAGGCAGCAGUGGGGAAUAUUGGACAAUGGGCGCAAGCCUGAUCCAGCCAUACCGCGUGUGUGAAGAAGGCCUUUUGGUUGUAAAGCACUUUAAGCGAGGAGGAGGCUCUUGAGGAUAAUACCCUUGAUGAGUGGACGUUACUCGCAGAAUAAGCACCGGCUAACUCUGUGCCAGCAGCCGCGGUAAUACAGAGGGUGCGAGCGUUAAUCGGAAUUACUGGGCGUAAAGCGCGCGUAGGCGGCUUGUUAAGUCGGAUGUGAAAUCCCCGGGCUCAACCUGGGCACUGCAUUCGAUACUGGCAAGCUAGAGUAUGGGAGAGGAAGGUAGAAUUCCAGGUGUAGCGGUGAAAUGCGUAGAGAUCUGGAGGAAUACCGAUGGCGAAGGCAGCCUUCUGGCCUAAUACUGACGCUGAGGUGCGAAAGCAUGGGGAGCAAACAGGAUUAGAUACCCUGGUAGUCCAUGCCGUAAACGAUGUCAACUAGCCGUUGGGGACCUUGAGUCUUUAGUGGCGCAGCUAACGCGAUAGUUGACCGCCUGGGGAGUACGGUCGCGAAGACUAAAACGUCGAAAGGAUUGACGG